AUUGAACGCUGGCGGCAUGCUUUACACAUGCAAGUCGAACGGUAACAGGGUGCUUGCACCGCUGACGAGUGGCGAACGGGUGAGUAAUGCGUCGGAACGUGCCGAGUAGUGGGGGAUAACGCAGCGAAAGUUGUGCUAAUACCGCAUACGUACUGAGGUAGAAAGUGGGGGACCUUCGGGCCUCACGCUAUUCGAGCGGCCGACGUCUGAUUAGCUAGUAGGUGAGGUAAAGGCUCACCUAGGCGACGAUCAGUAGCGGGUCUGAGGGGAUGAGCCGCCAACAUGGGACAGAGACACGGCCCAGACUCCUACGGGAGGCAGCAGUGGGGAAUUUUGGACAAUGGGCGAAAGCCUGAUCCAGCCAUGCCGCGUGUCUGAAGAAGGCCUUCGGGUUGUAAAGGACUUUUGUCGGGGAGGAAAUCCCCAGCGUUAAUACCGCUGGGGGAUGACAGUACCUGAAGAAUAAGCACCGGCUAACUACGUGCCAGCCGCCGCAGUAACAC
rnacentral:rRNA from 1 species